CCAGCAGCUGCGGUAAUUCCAGCUCCAUGAGCGUAACUUAGCGUUGUUGCGGUUGAAAAGCUCGUAGUCCGAAUUUGAUGGUUCUCUUCGCACGGUCUGCCGUUAGGUCUGAACGGCGAAAAACCAUCUUUGUCCGUACGUGUAGGCUUGCUCUUAGUUGAGGGAGCCUAGUUCACUGCGGACCUCAUACUGUGAACAAAUCAGAGCGCUCAAAGCAGGCUUACGCUUGAAUGUGUUAGCAUGGCAUAUCAGAAGACGGCGGCUGUCGGUGAUCAAAGGCCGGUGGUUGCAAUGAUCAAUGGGAAUGUUUGGGGCCGUCGGUACUGUUGGGCGAGCGGUGAAAUGUGUCGACCCUAGCAAGACCAUCAGAGGCAAAGGCUGUCGGCUAGCUCAUUUCCGUCGAUCAAG
rnacentral:rRNA from 1 species